rnacentral:rRNA from 1 species
AGAGUUUGAUCCUGGCUCAGAACGACCGCUGGCGGCGCAUCUUAAGCAUGCAAGUCGGACGGGAUCGGUAGCUUGCUACCGUGAGAGUGGCGGACUGGUGAGUAACACGUAGGUGACGUACCCCCCGGAUUGGGAACAGCCUGUAGAAAUACAGGGUAAUGCCGGAUACGCUCGCUCCUGUUGGAGGGGAGUGAGGAAGACGAAGCAACUGCUUCGCCGGGGGAACGGCCUGCGGGCCAUCAGCUGGUUGGCGGGGUAAAGGCCCACCAAGGCAAUGACGGUUAUCCGGCCUUAGAGGGUGAUCGGGCACAUUGGGACUGAGAUACGGCCCAGACUCCUACGGGAGGCAGCAGCUAAGAAUAUUCCGCAAUGGACGAAAGUCUGACGGAGCGACGCCGCGUGGAUGAUGAAGGUCGGAAGAUUGUAAAAUCCUUUUAUAACUGAGGAAUAAGCAGUGUGAGAGAAACGCAUUGUGGUGACUGUAGGUUAUGAAUAAGCAACGGCUAAUUACGUGCCAGCAGCCGCGGUAACACGUAAGUUGCGAGCGUUGUUCGGAAUUAUUGGGCGUAAAGGGCAUGUAGGCGGUUUUGCAAGCUUGAUGUGAAAGGCAGGAGCUUAACUCCUGGACUGCGUUGAGAACUGCAUAACUAGAGUCACUGAGGGGCAAUCAGAAUUCCAGGUGUAGGGGUGAAAUCUGUAGAUAUCUGGAAGAAUACCAAUGGCGAAGGCAGGUUACCAGCAGAUGACUGACGCUGAGGUGCGAAGGUGCGGGGAGCAAACAGGAUUAGAUACCCUGGUAGUCCGCACAGUCAAC